ACAGAGUUGUUCUUUAGGUU
rnacentral:snRNA from 1 species